rnacentral:sRNA from 2 species
CCAGGACCAUUCAGCAGCAUUGCCAGCUGCGCCAGCAGCAAUCGCAGUGGGUUCGUUGACGAGCACAACGGCAGCUUAACAGCCGUAGUCGUUGAACUAGUAGCAAACCUUGGAGUAGUUGCAGGAGUUCAAAUCAGUGGCGAGGCCUGGGACCGCAAAUGAGUGCGCGGCUGGAAUCACUUCCAAAUAGGAAUCACUCCAUCAGCACUGCGCAGCCGGUUGUUUCGAAGGACAAGGGGAUCGCGGUAUAGAUAUAUAUAUAUAUAAAACCUCCGCAUGGUAGAAAACGGAAAACGGAAAACGGAGGAAAACAGAGGGGGAAAAAAAGGACGAUGAUGAGUGAAAACGGAAACCGGAAGAUAGAGAGAGCAUGAGGAAAAA